AACGUAGGAGGCAAGCGUUAUCCGGAUUUACUGGGCGUAAAGCGCACGCAGGCGGCUGCGUAAGUCGGACGUGAAAGCUCCUGGCUCAACUGGGAGAGGUCGUUCGAAACUGCGCGGCUUGAGGUUGGAAGAGGAGAGCGGAAUUCCCGGUGUAGUGGUGGAAUGCGUAGAUAUCGGGAGGAACACCAGUGGCGAAAGCGGCUCUCUGGUCCACACCUGACGCUCAGGUGCGAAAGCGUGGGUAGCGAACGGGAUUAGAUACCCCGGUAGUCCACGCUGUAAACGAUGCGAACUAGGUGUUGGUAGUAUUAAACCUAUCAGUGCCGAAGCUAACGCGAUAAGUUCGCCGCCUGGGGACUACGGCCGCAAGGCUAAA
rnacentral:rRNA from 1 species